CUGAGUUAUACAACUCAUAAACCAUUGUGAACAUACCUAAUCUUACUGCUUCGGCGGUAAGACGUCCCUGUAACGGGCUUGCCCCGCUAGUAUUACCCUAACUCUUUUAUUUCUAGAGAAUUAUUCAUUGCUGAGUAACAUUAGCAAAUAAGUUA
rnacentral:misc_RNA from 1 species